GUGAUCAAAACAUUAAACCCACAAGAAGAUAUAAACAUUCUGCAGUCUCAAACAACUAAACAUACAAUAUAAUGCAAAUGAGAUUUACGGUCAUGAAGCAUAGUUUAAAAAACUGGACCAGGCCGGCGGUACAACCAGAAAAAAUCUCAUUUGCUGGUGCUCAAUCAUGAUGAGCAAGAAACUGCUGGUGCGCAAGGAUAAUAUCCUUCUUAUGUGAAAAAAUUACCAAGUACAUGGGCCUAACGUCUGAACAGGUUGACUUUCCCUACUACCAUGAUUAGGAACAGAAUUUGUGCUCUGUUAUUAUACCCGUAAUAAAUAUGCCUAUGACGGCGGUUCAUAUGCAUAUCGUUAAUGAUCAUGGUCAGUCAUCCUUUCAUCUGACAUUUGAACUGUGAUACCUUAACACCAAAAAAAAGUUUGCCAUCUAAAUAAAAAGAUCUUAGCACAUCAAUGUUAUUGUACUUGUGUUACAUGUAUUCUGAAGUGGUAUUUCCUGGCACAAGGUGUUCGUCAAGAUUCAACUAGCUCACAGUUUGGUAAUCCUUUAUAUGUAUUAUACUAGUACUCCCUCCGUCCAGCAAAGGAUGUCUCAACUUUGACUAAAUUUGAAUGCAUCUAUACACUAAGUCAUGUCUAGAUACACUGAGUAUUAUUUUUUAAUUAUUUUUUAGAUCUAUAGACCUGAGACAGUAAAUUGCAGAAAUAGUGCUCAGUCGCACCCAAAGAACAAUUAAGGACUUGCACGCCAACCAACAGACGACUUGAGUGGUGUCAUUCUAUGCAAGAACUGGCCUGUGGAGCUGUGUUGGCUGGACAAUAGGGCCUAAUUAUUCAACAGUUUGAUGACAGAGGACCUAGUAUGCAAUAGGGACGAGAUGUGGAUGUCUCCUGCUCCUGCAUGUAGCUGCAAAUGUGCAUGCUGAAUUGACGCCUCUUAGCUGCAUGGACACUGCAUCCAAUCCAUGGUCAGCUUAGCUGCAUGGACAACUUCUUGUGCUUCAAGGUUUGUGCACUCAUUGUAUAUCAAACCUACGUUGAACCUCUCCAUGUUGUACAGCAGUAAUAAAAUCACUCACAGAACUCUUGUCUCUACUCUCCCUUGUUUCUAUCCUCCUGCCAGGAUCCAUCUUUAGCUGACCAAGAUUGCAAGCCAACCGCCAUUCAUCAUUAAAUUUGGGCUGUAUAUCACUAAUUUAGUGGACGACGGGGACUUUACUGUCCUAUUGGACGACAAGAACGUACCAUUCUACCGCUGGACGAUAAGUCCUUUGUUAUUCUCUCAGUGAACGACAGAGUGCUGCUUCAGUAAAUUAUGGUCUUUGGCCUAUAGUUCACAAGAUGAUUUUAGAAAAAUAUUACUCCCUACCUCCCAUACUAAGUGACUCAAAUUUACCCAAAUAUGGAUGUAUCUAUACCCAAAAAGCGUCUCGAUACAUGUAAUAUCACGUCACUUAAUAUGGGACAGAGGGAGUAUUUAUAUAAAAAUCCAAUGCUAGGUGCACCCUGCAGAUCAAAAUCGGAAACAGGCCUGAAUCCAUUGUUGCGGCUCAUUGAGCAGUUGUUCUUUCUCAUGUAAGUCAUUUACAGAUUGUCAUGGCAUGUUGAUCUAUCAUUGUAUGGAUUUCAUGGAACAGGUCCAUCUAGACUACAUAGAAGCAGGCCACCAUUCAAGGGUUUGACUCUUAAGGGAUUUUCAAAAGAACAGAGCAAAAAAAUACUAUGAAGAUUGUUAAGAUUGCACGUGAAGCAUGUGAGAAGCUUCUGGACGAACAUUAAGAUCAUCAGUCCAUUCCCAUGCAACAUCAUAUUCUGGUUGCAGCUUCCAUGGAAGCUAUGGGGCUUAUCUUGCUGAUGGCUCUGGGUACAUGUAGUUACUACAUAACAUACAUGACAUAUGCUUUCCCAUUUUGCUUCUGGAAAAUCACUUUUUUUUUCUUGUGGGCCAGCUUGCAAAUUAUUCAUGAGGUUAUGCCAAGAGGAGGCAGUAAAAACAUAAAAAGGAACAAAAAGCAAUCAAAUAAGGAAUAUGAAUAUAUGAUUUCAACUAAUAAAACAAUGAAAAAUCGAAGCAGCCAGGAAUGAGAAAUAGGCACAC